ACACAUAGGGGAAAAGCAUCUCUGGAGGAAGCAGCAUCUUCUCCCAGGGGAUAAAGGCCUCAGGACGUCACUGGGUUCUGCAGGGGCCCGAGGUACCCGAGCCGCGGGAGCUGCUGGAGCCGCCACAGCCGCUGAAGCCACCGCCGCCGCAUUGGUGCAAGGGAGCCAGGCUGCUGCAGACUGCGCGCUAGAGCGAGGUGAGUGCAGGGGGCACGCCCCUGCGGCCGGAGCCCUGAAUCCCUUCAGGGCUACCCCCUAUCCCCCCAAUCUGGGCUAUGAAUCCCCACUGCUAGGUCCGUGCAUCCCCCUUCAUCCCAUGAAUUCUCCCCACCCGGAGGUCCAUGCGUCCCCCCUACCCUGGGCUGGUCCCAGCAUCCCACCCUCCCAGGGCCCCUGGCCCCCGCCUUAAGCCCAGUAACCUUCAUUUGACAUAAGUAGGGAGGUGUCAUGGGGACCAUCCGGCGCCAGGGGAUCCGCAUCCUUUCUUGGGGGCGGGGGAGUGGGGGGGACUCCAUCUGCUCCCCUCCCCCCUCGUGCCUCCCAGCCCCCUCCUGGUGUGAUUGGGCAUGGAGUGGGGCGGGGGAUUAGGAUUUGGAGGAGUGUCCGCUGGUGUGCGGCU
rnacentral:lncRNA from 1 species